rnacentral:tRNA from 1 species
GGAAGAGCGUUGUCCCCGGUGGGGCGCCUGGUCUUCAAAACCAGUGGACUGCUGUAGAAGUGGUCGGUAGGUUCGACUCCUACCUCUUCCGCCA